rnacentral:lncRNA from 1 species
UUGCCUUCUUGGUUGCUCUGAAGCUCAAUUUGCUAGUGCUCGGUGAUUUGCCACCAUUCCCAUCAGCCUCCUCCAUAAGCGGAUGCCCUGAAAGUGUCUGAAGAACAUACUGAUGGAAGAUUGAUUCUUGAAUUCUAUCAAAGAAGGUGUUCACAUGGAAACUAGAUGCUAAGAUCUUAAGCAACAAUGUUUUUAACAUCCAUAAGAACGCCCCAAUGAGAACCGAAACAAUAGUCCAUGUAACAUAUUUUAAAAUCUUGGUGGAAGUCUCUGACCUCUCAACCCCACGGUUGAACAACAGCAGCCAAGUGAGAAGAACCAGAGACAGCCACAAGAAAACCUGAACACUCUUCUUCAUUCCAUGAACAAAAUACAACACCUUCUUCCGAAGCAAAAAGUUGCACUCAAUCAAAAAAACUAUCAAAUGCAUAACCCAAUUCGUAACCAACAUGCCACUGAAUAUCACCAUGACAAGCACACACCAUUUCCAAAUCUCCAAUCCCCAAACCAUAUAAUGCUCUAGUCUCUUCACAGUCAAGCUAGCUACUAAACAACCCAAAAUGCACAGGAAAACAACCAACUCAGUCAAGACUGUCUUUUUCAUUUUCCCAUGCUUAUCUCUACUCAACUUAACCUUCUUGUAAAUCUCUUCAUCCUCCUUAUCUUUGGUCCUGCCUGGGGACGGCGGUACAGUCCUAUUAGAAGUAAUGGAUAUGGCCCUAGCUCCUGAUAUGUUAUUUGGGGAAGCCCUACUGAAUGAAGCCCCCCUAUAAGGCGAACCAACCUGAUCUGAACUAUCUUCAUUCACAACAGGCGAUGGUUCACCAAACCUUGACUUGGGUUUACUAACUGACCUAUUAAAUGACUUUCUCCUAUUGAUGCUCUCAUUGCGGGCGGGGAUCCUAGGAGGCUUACCGGGGUUGGGACUAGCUCUUAAAACAUCCGGUGAAGGAAACGCACUCGAAACUGGCUUACUACUGGACUCAGUGGGGAGUCUUAAGUCCACUUUGCUUUGCUUGUUUGAAGGAGACCCUCUAGUUUCAUAAGUCCCAGCAUUUUGGACUUCCACUAUAACUUCACCUCCAUUUGCAGAUUGCUUCUCCGACAUGCUUAUCUCGCCGCCCUUUGAACCUUUCUCUGCGGCUUUCAUUAAACCCCUUAAACCUUAAUCCAACAAAAAAAGCUAGCAUUAAACCCCCAAAAGCAAAUCGACCCCAAGAAAAAAACACCCCUAAUAUGUAGAUUAACAAAGACUAGAAUCAUAAUCCAGUUUAAAAAUUAAAACUUUACAACACUUUCAGAAGAUACUUUCCCUUCUUUUUUUUUUUUUCUAAAACUCAGAUAUCAUUUUUUUCUUCUUUAAACUUCUGAGAUUUACGUAAUGGCUUUUUUAACAAAAGAACAAAACAGCUAAUUCUCCAAGUACUAUAACUGGAAACGAAGCUACUUUCGCGCCAAAACGAUCAAGUUAAAAAUCAACUAUUUCCAUAGCAGUAAGAACACUGUGUUUACUGUACUCACCUGGGUCACUAGAACCGGACAAGAUCCAAAGCUACCCACAAAUGAAGAGAUGGGAAGAUCAUAGUGCUGGAAUAGGAUUGAUUGCUGAUUCAGUACUGCAGAGAAACUAGUCAACUGGGCUUGUUGAACAAAAAAGUUUUCACCUUUAGGAACAAAGAACAGAGCUUUUGAAGUACUUCACCUAUAUAAAGGUUGUUGGAUAUAAAGAUUGUUGGGUUUUCAUCUGGGUAAACUAAAGUUUUGUGUUCAUCAUAUGAAGAAUUGGAUAGAAGAAGAUUAUGAUGAAAAUCUUGGAGAUGAUUAGAUCAGUGUGAAAAUGAGUAUUGGAGGAGGCUGGGUUGGCUGCCCCCAAAGAUAAUGAGAAGGCUGCAGAAGUGAGGGACAAAAUGAAACAGAGGAGAGGGUUCAAAUGCCUAUGAAGAGCGGUGCUACCACGUGGUUUCUGCAAAACUAGAAGAAAUAAUGGAAAUAAUGUUUUGAAGUGUGGAACAAAGGGAGUAAACCUACCGGGAGAACAAUAUUAAUUAAAGUGUGAAAGAGUGGGGAUGCCAGGUUAGGAACUGACCCUAUUUGAAGGAUUAUGCCGCAGAGAAGAGAACAAUCUUCAAAUUCUUAUCAAAGAUAUCAUGAUAAAAAUUUUGGGUAUUUUUGUUUGAUCAAUAUUAUUAUAUCACAACGUACGUGUUACAGCAUUUAAUAAAAAAUCUAUAGAAAAACACACACACAAAAAAAAAAUAAGAAUGAAAGUUUUUCGAAGAACGAAUUUUUAUUAGGUUGUCAUAAUUUUUAUCUGUGUUUUCAAUUGUUACUCUAACAUUUAGUUUGGUCGAUAAAUAAGAUGAUGGCUUUUCCUAUUUUGACUACAUGUCUACAACAUGCUAAUAUAAGUUUCAUGUACAAAUCGUUUCCAACUCUUAGGAAAAAAUUGAGAAGGAUUACAUUAUGAAUCUUCAUCUGGGACUUUAAAUAGUUAUUUGUCUGUAAUUAUAAGUGGCUUUACAGCUCAGGUGUAGUGCGGUGCAGGGUGUUCAAGGGUUCAGGCCAACCACCACGUAACAAGUACCAAUACCAACAGUACUCGUCGAGACUAAUAACUCAUUAUCAUUAGUUUAAGCUUUUCUUACAUAAAGCAAAUCAUAGGUCGAAUCUUAAUCUUAUCUCUGUAAAUUUGAUUUAUCCACGUUAAUUUAAUCAAUAAUCAUGACAUGCAUAGUGCAUCGUGGACCUGAAAAAUGCUCUAUACUUUUGUUUGUCUAUAGUGCUGUUUCAGGGUGUACUAUGGAUUUUGCAGGGAGCAAUAUCCAGCAAAAUUCUAUGGCCAUCCUUAGUGUCGUGGCAUUAGUGAUUUAGUAUCAGUACAGUAGUACCAUACUUGGCUAGUGCUUUCUCUUCAUUCUCUGGGGGCGAAAAAGAAGAAAACGAUGUGCAUUUCAGAAAGAAAGAAAGGAAGAGCACGUUUCACCGUUGAUGGCGAAUUGGACCCAGAACAUGUGGUCAUGCCAAUAAUGGUGUCUGAAAACCUCGACGCUUCUACAUUUGCCUCUCUCUAUUUCAUAAUCUCAGCUCCAUUUGCGAUGAUAUAAAGUAGGUGAGCAACGCUCUGGUUUGUAAUUCAAUCAUGGUAGACGACAGCAAGAAGACGCCAAGAAGGUGGAAACGACUUGUCAAAUCUUUCUUUGUGAUUUCCGGGGAAAACAAAAUAAAGAACGACUUGUAUAGAAGUCGCUUUGGUAUGAAAUAUGCAUGAUUGAUGUUUUAAUAAUGCAGGAUUUUAUUUUGGUCUGGAUGAUAAUGUAGCAUGAACUAUAGUUUUUAGGGGUGAAAGCAACAUGAACCCUACUACAACCACGACCAGUUUGUACUUGUGAGAUUGUCUUCCCUAAAGAAUCUAAAAUUAAGCAAGCAACUAAUCCAUGUUCAAACUUGAACUCAUCAUCUAAUUUGGACUAAUCGAUCCUUUAAGUUAUGACUUUAUAACGAUCGAUGCUGAGAUUAUAAACAAAUUAAUCCUAGUCUAAUUGCUCCUACAGCGCAGAAACCAAACUGAUUAUAUAUUCGAAAAACGAAGAGUGAAAUUGAAGGACAGAAUGGAAGAGAUGACUGUAUCAGAAAAUUAAGUAUGAACAACUGCCAUGGAUUUAGCACACCAUUGAGUUAUGACAUAAUCAAUGUGGCCAUAGCAAUGACUACUUCAUAGCAUACAAACCUCACCAAUUAGCCUAGCUUCAAUCUUUGAGAGGUUGAGUAAAGUAAAACUAAUUUUCUAACCCGAUAUCAGGUUGAGUACUUGGACCUCCUUUAGGAAGCAAAGUGUUAAAUGCAUAUCUUAUCUGUUGGAGUGUGAUUCAGUUUUGGGGAGGAUACAUCUGACAUCACUGUGAUGUUUAGCUCUUCAAGAAUCUUCAGCAAUUCGAAGUUUAGCUCAGCUCUACGCAAAUUAUUUUCCUCGAAAUCUCUAAAGUUCAAUUUGUGAUGACAAUAUACGGCCAUCUUUAACUUGUUAACAUCUUCAAUGUUAAUCACCGCCACAUUGUGUUUUCGAUGCCAAUAUUGAGGCUUCCCCUCGAUGUAUCUGGCCAAGCACAAGCACAUAUACACAAAAGAGUAAGAACAUGCACAAAAGAGCAGUGCCGAACAAUGCUCACUAGUUAGUUUUUUUUUUUUUUUUUUUUUUUUGGAAUAAAGGAGGUCAUACUUUAUUAUAAUAAAAGGAUUACACAGACGAUGCUCACUAGUUAAACGCAAUAGAAAAAACUUACUCCUUUAUUUUCUCUUUCAACUUGACUAUAUUCUCCACUGGUGUUAAAGCAAUUGAGAACUCCACAGCUUCUCUCAUAUCUGGACUUCUGGUGUAAUUGCUUAUUGAUGUUGCAGAUAACACGGAAUUUGGAUAGUACACCUUCUCGUUACUACUGAGUUUCAAGCAAACCGUAGUAAAGAUGCUCAUCUCUUCAACUAUCAUCUGUCAGGUGUAUACUAUGUGUUACAAAAAUUGAAAAGUAAACCCAAUGUGAUGAAAUAAUGUAUGAGAUGGAGUUGUACCGGAACGCCAUCAAAAACAAUGCAGUCUCCAACAUCAUAAGGAUGUGCCACAAAUAGAAACAUGAUAGAUUCAAAUACAUUCUUGCAAGUGUUUCCGAAAGCAAAAGCUGCUAAUACCAGCUGUGAUGAUAGGAACACAAAAAAGCUUGUGGUUGCAAUUUCCACAACUAGAAGGCUCACGACGAUGAUGAUAAUGAACACAAUGCUAGUCACAAGAUUGUCGACUUGCGCUGUAACUGCUUUGGUAUCAGACAAUGCAUGAGCUAAUGCUUUGCGAUCAGUGUAGACCUUCAGCUGGGGAAAAAGCCAUAGUACAAAGAAUUUCACACUCAUAAUUAUUUCAGAAAAUGAGAAACCUAGAAACUUCAAUAGCUCAAAUGCACAAUUGUAUUAUGUUAGUGACUGAAGUAGUACAUGAUCAAUCAAAAUGGUGCUUAAUUUUCAUUCAUUUACUAAUUAUUAAUACAUGUUUUGCUAAGUAGUGAACUACAAGAGACAUGAAUUAGGGUCUUACCACCCAGUCUGUUAGAGUUUUUCUGUCAACUUUUCCGGUCAUUGCUACGUCAAUCAGCGGCCAUACAAGGUCUACUUCUUCCUCCGUCAUGAACCUCAUGAGAUCCCACUCCUCAAUGUACCUACUCAGAUAUAAGAUAUGUAACACAAGAAUGGAAACGGAAAAAUAAUAAGCACUUAGAUUGAAACAAUUUUUAUUCUCACUUAGCACCAGGAGGAGCGACAUGAAGGAAAAUGUCGUCUGCAGCAGCAGUUGCUUCCAUCUCACUGGUAAUCUCUUUACCACUAUGUCCUUUUAGAGAGAUGGUCAGCCCUGAACUGGUUACUACAUUCACCAAUCCAUUCAAGGUCCAAGAAGAAACAUUUGAUCCUUGAAUCUUUGACUUGUCACUGACCUCCCUUUCUGCCCUGAUCUUUGUCCUGGAGACCCCUUCUGCCUGUGCCUUCUUAGUCUCUCUGUAACUCAGUUUGCUACUGCCUCGUGAUCGUUCAUAAUCCUCUUCCAUAAACGGAGUUCCUGAAAUUGCCUGAAGAAUAUAUUGAAAGAGUAUCGAUUCUUGAAUUCUAUCAAAAUAGGUGACCGCCUCAAAUUUAGAUGCUAAGAUCAGAACCAACAAAGUCUUCAACAACCACAAAAAUGCGCCAAUAACGCCUGCAACAAUACUUCGCGUGAUGUAAGCCACAAUCUUAC